rnacentral:rRNA from 1 species
CAGCAGUAGGGAAUCUUCCACAAUGGACGAAAGUCUGAUGGAGCAAUACCAUGUGAACGAUGAAGGCCUUUUGGUGUAAAGUUCUUUUACGAGGGAUAAUUAUGAUAGUACUUCGUGAAUAAGUGACAGCAAACUAUGUGCCAGCAGCUGCGGUAAUACAUAGGUCGCGAGCAUUAUUCGGAUUUAUUGGGCGUAAAGCAAGCGCAGGCGGAUGUGUAAGUUCUGUGUUAAAUGCAGCUACUCAAUAGUUGUAUGCACCGAAUACUACAUGUCUAGAUUGUGGUAGGGAGUUUCGGAAUUAAGCAUGGAGCGGUGGAAUGUGUAGAUAUGCUUAAGAACACCAGAGGCGAAGGCGGAAACUUAGGCCAUAAAUGACGCUUAGGCUUGAAAGUGUGGGGAGCAAAUGGGAUUAGAUACCCCAGUAGUCCACACCGUAAACGAUGGGUAUUAGAUAUUGAGGCUUUAGCUUUAGUGUUGUAGCUUACGCGUUAAAUACCCCGCCUGGGUAGUACAUGUGCAAAUAUGAAACUCAAAGGAAUUGACGGGGACCUGAACAAGUGGUGGAGCAUGUUGCUUAAUUCGAUAAUACACGAAAAACCUUACCAAGGUUUGACAUCCCUCGCAAAGCUAUAGAAAUAUAGUAGAGGUUAUCGAGGUGACAGGUGGUGCAUGGCUGUCGUCAGCUCGUGUCUUGAGAUGUUUGGUUAAGUCCCGCAACGAGCGCAACCCCACUCUUUAGUUACUUGUCUAAAGAGACUGCACAGUAAUGUAGAGGAAGGAUGGGAUCACGUCAAGUCAUCAUGCCCCUUAUGCCUUGGGCUGCAAACGUGCUACAAUGGCGAACACAAUGUGUUGCAAACCAGCGAUGGUAAGCUAAUCACCAAAUUUAGUCUCAGUUCGGAUAGGAGGCUGCAAUUCGCCUCCUUG